UACGUAGGGUGCUAGCGUUGUCCGGAUUUAUUGGGCGUAAAGGGCUCGUAGGCGGCGUGUCGCGUCGGGGAGUGAAAGCCCGCUGCUUAACGGCGGGUUGGCUUCCGGUACGGGCAUCGCUGGAGUGCGGCAGGGGAGACUGGAAUUCCUGGUGUAGCGGUGGAAUGCGCAGAUAUCAGGAGGAACACCGGUGGCGAAGGCGGUUCUCUGGGCCUUACCUGACGCUGAGGAGCGAAAGCGUGGGGAGCGAACAGG
rnacentral:rRNA from 1 species